rnacentral:lncRNA from 1 species
CAGUGUAUUCCCACCUAGUAAGGUCUGGGAAGGGUAGAGUGUACGCAGUCCAUACCACUAACUCAGGUAAAGUAGAAAGGUUAUUUCGAUAGACCCCCGGCAUAGAAUCAAUAACAAUAUAACAGUAACAAUACAUAAAUGUAUAUAAACUUGUACAGUAUGCAAAAAUAAAGUAACAACGCUAGACACAAGAUAAUACUAAACUAUACAUCUGAAACCAUAGACAGCACAUAACACCUACAAAUAAGAAACUUCAAACACAAAUACAGAAAACUCCCCUGCAGUUACCGACACUCUCCCACACCCUAACCCUCUACCCUAAUCCGCAUCCUCCACACCUUUAUAUCAAGGGUUAUGUCCUCUAUAAAUUAUAACU